rnacentral:pre_miRNA from 1 species
GUGUGUGUGUGUGUGGAUAGUGUUUAGCACCAAGGACAGGCGUGUUCACCUGUGUGUGUAUGGUGUUCAGCACCAAGGACAGGUGUUAUGAUUA